AUUCGUCAAGUCCUCAAUGUAUAGAGACGAAGUCAGCGGAAUACCGGCCGGAAGUAUGAAGCAGGCUGAAUCUUCGAAAUACAAAAAAUUCUAGUAUAUGACAUUGAUUAGCUGGAGUCUUGGAGAAGUCCAACAUUUCAUGCUGUGGGCUUUUGGUGUAUUUUCCUUUACCUCCAGACAUAAUUCCCAUGACAAGAUUGAUCAUUGGUUAUGGUACAUUUGACGAUUAGGACAAAAUUGAUAAUGAAGCGGACAGUCUGUCGCUUUCUUCCUCCCUCUCACGGUUCCUUCAUCGAGCUCAAAUCAACACCCCAAUACGGAGUGAAAGACUCUUUUUUCUUCUUUUUCGGGGGAUUUCGUCCACACAGUCAGGGACCGCCCUUGCCACACGACCAUCACCCCGCCGGCCACUCCAUCCCAUGAUCGAGCUCCCCGGCGAGCUUGAUCAGGGGGUGGGGUCGCAAGGGGGAGCGGCCCCACCUCCGAUUUCCUUGAAAUAAAAGAAAAAGGAAGAAACAAAAUGUAGAAGGAGGAGAGAAUGGAGAGAGGGUUGCAACGACCAGGAGCUUCCAAUGGGCUUCCGGAGACCGCAGAUGACCUGCUAGAGGCGGAGACACCGACGAGAUGGGCAGAGAGGGGAGAGACGUCUGAGUAAGAGGGAGGAGAGGAGAGGAGAGGAGAGGAGCCACCUCUCCAAACUUGACAUCUGAGCAGUCCAUGUAAGAGCUGCAUCAGCAAAAAUUAACACCGUUAGCUCUCAAUUGACGGUUUGUACAAACACUGUUACAUUUUGAAAAGAAAUUAUACUCGAUUGUUACGUUUUUUAGUUUUUGUACCGAAGUGUUAUAAACGUAAAAUAUUUUGUACCAGUCGUGCAAUUUACCCUCAUUGGUUAGUUCC